rnacentral:rRNA from 1 species
AUACGAAGGGCCCGAGCGUUAAUCGGAAUCACUGGGCUUAAAGCGUACGUAGGCGGACUCGCAGGCACCUUGUGAAAUCCCUCGGCUCAACCGAGGAACUGCUUGGUGAACCGCGCGUCUUGAGGCAAGUAGGGGCUGUCGGAACGAUAGGUGGAGCGGUGAAAUGCGUUGAUAUCUAUCGGAACGCCGAAGGCGAAGGCAGACAGCUGGGCUUGUUCUGACGCUGAUGUACGAAAGCGUGGGGAGCGAACGGGAUUAGAAACCCCAGUAGUCC